AGAGAGAGACAUGCGCGCAUAUCAAUAAGCGGAGGAAAAGAAACUAACUAGGAUUCCCUCAGUAACGGCGAGUGAAGCGGGAAGAGCUCAAAUUUGAAAUCUUCAAGGGUUCUACCUUGACGAAUUGUAGUUUAAAGAAGUGUUUUCUGUUGGAGUUUUGGUAAAAGUUCUUUGGAAUAGGACAUCAUAGAGGGUGAGAAUCCCGUAUUUGACCAUUACUUUCCACUUUGUGAUACACUUUCAAAGAGUCGGAUUGUUUGGGAAUGCAGUCCAAAAUGGGUGGUAAAUUUCAUCUAAAGCUAAAUACUGGCGAGAGACCGAUAGCGAACAAGUACCGUGAGGGAAAGAUGAAAAGAACUUUGAAAAGAGAGUUAAACAGUACGUGAAAUUGUCAAAAGGGAAGCGCUUUGACACCAGUGUUGUUUUUCUGAAAAUCAAUUAAAAAGGCAUGAUUUAUGUAAGUUGUAUUAGACUUUAUCAGCUUUCUGCACUCUUUUCUUGUCUUUUUUAAUGCACUUUUCGUUUAACAAGUCAACAUCAAUUUCUUUUGUUGUAAAAGGGUCAUUGGAAGGUGGCUUUCUUUUCGGAGAAAGUGUUUAUAGCCUUUGGCCUCUGCAAUCGGAGAGAUUGAGGUCUGCAGCGUAGAUCCUUCGGGGUUAGAUACAUUUGUGCUAAGUUAUAGCCUUUCAUAGACAACUUGUUGACUAUGAUCAGUCAUGUAGCUUACUCGCUUAUGCUAUUUUACCUACGCUUAGGAUGUUGAUGUGAUACUGCGAGCA
rnacentral:rRNA from 1 species